rnacentral:rRNA from 1 species
AGCUCCAAUAGCGUAUAUUUAAGUUGUUGCAGUUAAAAAGCUCGUAGUCGGAUUUCGGGUGGGCGCCGCGUGGUCGGCCAUUUGGUCGUACUACCGGCACCCUCCCUGCUGCCGGGGACGGGCUGCUGGGCUUCACUGUCUGGCACCCGGAGUCGGCGAGGUUACUUUGAGUAAAUUAGAGUGUUCAAAGCAGGCCUACGCUCUGAAUACAUUAGCAUGGAAUAACACGAUAGGACUCUGGCCUAUCCAGUUGGUCUGUGGGACCGGAGUAAUGAUUAAGAGGGACAGUCGGGGGCAUUCAUAUUUCAUUGUCAGAGGUGAAAUUCUUGGAUUUAUGAAAGAUGAACUUCUGCGAAAGCAUUUGCCAAGGAUGUUUUCA